AGGUUCUUAGUUUAAUGGUAAAAUAUCGGUCUCCAAAACCGUAAGAUUUCUGUUCGAAUCAGAAAGAGCCUGCCA
rnacentral:tRNA from 1 species